rnacentral:tRNA from 1 species
CGGAAUGUGGCCCAGGUGGUAGGGCGCCCGUCUGGGGGGCGGGAGGUCGCCAGUUCAAGUCUGGUCAUUCCGA